rnacentral:lncRNA from 1 species
UUUCAUAAAACACCAGAGAGAGACGUGGCGGCCUCUAGACCAGUAGCUCCGGUACACUAAUUUAGCUUCGCAGAUAGACUGGAGGUGGCCGACAACUCGACAGCCAGAUUUCGUGGACAGCAACUCUUCCACCUCUCCAGCCGUCCACGUGUCCCACUUACUAAACGGCCGAUCAUACAUUCCGUACGCUCCCAUUUGAAAUCCCUUCUCCAUCCCUCCUUCCUCCCCUUAUCCGAUCGCCAUAGAACCAAGGGCACUUUCGAGUUUCAAGCUUUUCGAUGGCACAGCGUGUAAUUCCAUAAAACAAUCACGGGCAGUUCCGUCAAUUUCUAAGUAUCCUGCUCUGUAAAAGAUUUUCAGGGGGAUAUUUGUCAGUGAGUUCAGACCUUCUGCUUCUUCUUCUCUCUCUCUGUUUCCGUAACCAAAAGGCACAAAUUUGAAAUCCUUGAUCCUCUGUUCAGUUAAUGUUACAGGUAAUUGGUACCUACGGAGGAGGGUGAGAAAUGCAAGACAUCCACUCAAUUGGCGGGGGCGGGGGGGGNNN